CACGCGGGAGCCGGGCGGACGGACGGACGGACGGACGCGGGAGGGGGCGGCCGGCCAGACACACAGCCGGAGGGGGAGGGGGCGGUCCUUCCGGUCCCCUUCACUUCCGGCCCUGGCGCCGCGGCGGACGGUGUGGCAGCGCCGCUCGGCCCGCUCCGCUCCGCGCUCGCCCGCCCCCCCCGGCCUCCCCAUGCAGCGCCGCGACGACCCCGCCGCCCGCCUGGGCCGGGGGCCGGGCCCCGGCGGGGCCCCUCGGCAAGGAGCUCCCCCACCGCGGCGGCCGCCCCGGGGCGGCGGGGGGGGGGGCGGCCGCGGGGCCGCUACCGGGACGCAGCCGCCGCCGCUCCUGCCGCCCAGCGCUACGGCCGCCGCCUCGGCCUCUCAGGCCCCCGCCGCCGCCCCUACCCCGCUGCUGCCCGGGGCCGCUGUCAAGAUGGAGCCCGAGAACAAGUACCUGCCCGAGCUGAUGGCCGAGAAGGACAGCCUCGACCCGUCCUUCACGCACGCCAUGCAGCUCCUCACAGCAGAAAUUGAAAAAAUUCAGAAGGGUGAAACAACAAAGAAGGAUGAGGAAGAGAACUACCUGGAUUUAUUUUCCCACAAGAAUAUGAAACUGAAAGAACGAGUUCUGAUACCUGUCAAACAGUACCCUAAGUUCAAUUUUGUUGGAAAGAUUUUGGGACCUCAAGGCAACACCAUCAAGAGACUUCAGGAAGAAACUGGUGCUAAGAUAUCUGUGCUUGGGAAGGGUUCAAUGCGAGAUAAAGCAAAGGAGGAAGAACUGCGUAAGGGGGGAGAUCCUAAGUAUGCUCAUCUAAAUAUGGAUUUGCAUGUCUUCAUUGAAGUUUUUGGACCCCCUUGUGAAGCAUAUGCUCUGAUGGCUCACGCCAUGGAAGAAGUCAAGAAGUUCCUUGUUCCAGAUAUGAUGGAUGAUAUCUGUCAGGAGCAAUUCUUGGAGCUCUCCUAUCUGAACGGUGUACCAGAGCCAACUCGUGGCCGAGGAGUCCCUGUGCGGGGAAGGGGAGCAGCUCCACCACCGCCUCCACCUGUUCCAAGGGGCCGUGGUGUUGGGCCGCCUCCUCCGCCUCCUCCUCCUCGGGGGGCCCUUGUGCGAGGAGCCCCGGUGCGGGGUGCCAUUGCCAGGGGAGCCGCUGUAGCCCGCGGAGUUCCUCCUCCCCCAGCAGUACGGGGUGCUCCUGCACCCAGAGCACGUGCAGCUGGCAUUCAGAGAAUACCGCUUCCUCCUCCUCCCGCACCAGAAACCUAUGAGGAAUACGGCUAUGAUGAUGCAUAUGCAGACCAGAGCUAUGAGGGGUAUGAAGGCUACUACAGCCAGGGCCAAGGGGACACAGAAUACUAUGAUUAUGGACACGGGGAGGCACAGGAAACCUAUGAAGCUUAUGGGCAAGAUGACUGGAACGGAACCAGGCCCUCCCUGAAGGCCCCGCCGGCCAGGCCAGUGAAGGGGGCCUACAGAGAGCACCCAUACGGACGUUAUUAAAAAACAAACAUGAGGGAAAAAUAUCAGUUAUGAGCAAACAGUUGUUACUGAUUCUUGUAUCUCCCGGGAUUCCCGUUGCUUUACCCACACCAGACAAGAGUCAAGAGUACAUCGCUAUGAAUCACUUGGGUGAAGAUGAGCAGGGGCAACACGAAGUGGGCACAGCUUUUAUAUCAAGUGGAAAAGAUUUGAUAGAGAUCAUCUAUUAUGAUGCAGUUUUUUACCAGUAGAAGUGGAUCUUGUGACACUGCCUUUGGAGUAAUACAGCUUGCUUGUGCAUUGCAUUUGUUGCAUGUUUAUGUGAAAGAUUUUCAUGUUAUGGAGGAAUGUAAAUCUUAAGAUAUUGAAAAUAACUGUAUAAGCCAAAAGUAUUUUGAAAACAUGCCCUGCGUCAAACAUCUUCCUCCCUCUCACAGCAUUACUACAUUCAGAUUUUAGCCUUGAGUCUACAAAAGCUAAUUUGAGAUCCCAAAAUAGCCGUCAGCAUCGGAUAUGUCUCUCAAAGAUGCUCUAAUUAGCCAGACGUUCCGGGGGUGAUACAGGACUCGCUGAAAUUUGUGAGGGGUAAAAAUUCCUUUGAGUACUGAAGUCUGAGUCACCUAAAUAACCUUCCCUUUUCUACUGACGCGUAGCCACUGGAGAUAGCUGGCUGUGAGCUAACAAGUGCCAGUGAUCUUUCAUCUCCUGAUUUCCCCAAAAGACUAAUCCACAUCUUAUUAUUUAUAGGAUUUUGGUAGAGACCAUAAACAAGAUAAAGGCCCCCAUUGUGCUUGGUUACUGUACAGUGUGAUGUACAGCAGCAGUCACGUCUCCUCUGUGGAAGUGUUUCCCAACAAUACUGUUCUUUUCAAGAGAAACUUGGCUCCAGAAACAUCCUCCUGCUGCACAUCGCUCUGUGCCUCAGUAGUCCCAUCUUCUCUGGCCCUUGCUCUGAGCAGCUCCAGCUUCUUCAGCCUCUAGUUCAGCCCUUUGGUAUAAAUACUCAGGCUGGCCUUACUUGGAGCUGAUACAAACCUGGACUUUACACUUCCUCGGUGAGGUCUCACCAUGCGUAGUGGUUCAUAGCCAGUAUCUUGGACAGCAGCAAGUGUGAAUCAGCUUGCAGAAAAAACACUCCAACAGGUAUUACAGAAAUGUCCCCAGCAGCUUUUCCUGGAAAGAGACUGUCAUAUACUGCCUGUUCUUUAACCCUGAUUUCAAGUUGCUGCUGGGAUUAUUAAAUAAAGCAAAUGGCUACAAGCUUUAUUUAUAACUUACCUAUGGUAUUUUUAUGUUUAACUUAAAACACUGUGCUUUCAGUAAGGCUAAGACAUUACCUUGAUAUGGUCCUCUGUAAAAUUCCAUAUUUGGCAAGUUGGGUUUAAAAGCACAGCUGGAUUCCCUGUUUGGCUGUUAAAGCAGAUGAUUCUUUUUGUGCAGAAUGAGUUUUUAAAUUUGUAUGAGAGCAUCUGUCACGAACAGAGCCAAGAAAAACAAUUUAAACGUGUGGCUCUUCCCUUCCUCACCCCAUGCCACUGCUCUCCUAAAACCCACUUGGGCAGAGGGGGAUUCCUGCAGCCUGGGAGAGAUUCCCCCCCCCAAAUGACCCCAGAGGAGAAGGGACCAGCUGUGACCCAUCUGCUGGGAGAUGCAGAGGAGAGCAGGCGGUGCUGCUAACACAGCUCUUCCCUCAGCUGCGAGGAACACAUACAUAUGGUGCUUUUGGGGAGGAAGGCAGGGCUUAGGGAAAUUCUUCUUUAAUUGAUAAACCUAUAACAUCUUGGAUGAGAUGUUGGACACAUGCCCCAUUUGUAAGCUUUGAGGGGGAGGAAUUUCUGCAGGCUAGUCAGGGCCCGUGGGAACUCCCAUCUCGAAUGUAGAUGUUACUCCUCUUUUUUUCAACUCGGGAAGCUCAGUUCCUGUGAGCACAGAGCAGAAACCUUUGCUGUUAUUGCUGUUGAGCCUUCCACUGCUACCAUAUGUUUUAAUAGAAAUGUUUGUUCCUGCGCUCAUUUUGCUCCUUUUGCAAAGCGGGAUGACUCUCCGACGAGAUGAUUUCAGAUCUGAUACAGGAACCCAGUUAAGACGCGGUUCACUUUGCUGUAGCUGGGAAACGGGAACCUGCCAGCUCUUGGUGAGUGGUGGAAAACGGUGGAGCCUCCCUUGGCUGCUGCAAACGCUGGAGAGCAGCAACCGCGUGUUGGAGUACUGAAAUAUAAAGCGUUUUCCAAUGAGGCUGUUACUUUUACCACUGGUGUUAGAACCAAAUAUGCCCAAAGGCUCGUACGCGGUGUUACAGAUUCAAAGCUGUUUUUAACGUGAUAUCAGUACAUUCUACCCAUUGCCCUUAUAAGCUGUCCCUGGAAGAUUGUGUUAAAACCACAGGUGUCUGGAUACUCCUGGUUUUUGAUGGCUCUGCACAAUGUAGACUUCAAAACUAGUAAGAAAUGAGAUUGGCCCUGUGAAAGUUCAUUACUUUUAGAGAUGGCUUUGCCUCCAGCCCAGGUUCUCAGAAUUGUAUAAUGUUCCAUCUGUACUGAAGCAUCAAACACCCACAAGUUGAGGAAAUCGAUAAAAAAUAACUGCAAGUGGUUGGUAAAGAUGGUGAAAACUGAUCAAGGUGAAUCACAGCAUUAAAAUAACUUGUAUGGGAAACUGGCAGGCUCUUCUGUGGCUGGUAUUUAGCAAGAAGUGUUCAACAGAUGUUGGAAGUGAUUAGUCAUUCCCUAUAAUAAAGGCCUAACGUUGAA